rnacentral:rRNA from 1 species
AUACGUACUGUGCGAACGUUAUUCGGAAUCACUGGGCUUAAAGGGUGCGUAGGCGGCCAGAUAAGUAGGAUGUGAAAUCCCCCGGCUUAACCGGGGAACUGCGUUCUAAACUGUUUGGCUUGAGUAAGAUAGGGGUGUGCGGAACUUCCGGUGGAGCGGUGAAAUGUGUUGAGAUCUGAAGGAACACCAGUAGCGAAGGCGGCAUACUGGGUCUUAACUGACGCUGAGGCACGAAAGCUAGGGUAGCGAACGGGAUUAGAAACCCUAGUAGUCC